GAUGAACGCUGGCGGCGUGCCUAAUACAUGCAAGUCGAGCGAACAGACGAGGAGCUUGCUCCUCUGACGUUAGCGGCGGACGGGUGAGUAACACGUGGAUAACCUACCUAUAAGACUGGGAUAACUUCGGGAAACCGGAGCUAAUACCGGAUAAUAUAUUGAACCGCAUGGUUCAAUAGUGAAAGACGGUUUUGCUGUCACUUAUAGAUGGAUCCGCGCCGCAUUAGCUAGUUGGUAAGGUAACGGCUUACCAAGGCAACGAUGCGUAGCCGACCUGAGAGGGGGGAUGGCCACACUGGAACUGAGACACGGUCCAGACUCCUACGGGAGGCAGCAGUAGGGAAUCUUCCGCAAUGGGCGAAAGCCUGACGGAGCAACGCCGCGUGAGUGAUGAAGGUCUUCGGAUCGUAAAACUCUGUUAUUAGGGAAGAACAAAUGUGUAAGUAACUAUGCACGUCUUGACGGUACCUAAUCAGAAAGCCACGGCUAACUACGUG
rnacentral:rRNA from 1 species